rnacentral:rRNA from 1 species
GCGUACCUUUUGUAUAAUGGGUCAGCGACUUAUAUUCUGUAGCAAGGUUAACCGAAUAGGGGAGCCGAAGGGAAACCGAGUCUUAACGGGCGUUAAGUUGCAGGGUAUAGACCCGAAACCCGGUGAUCUAGCCAUGGGCAGGUUGAAGGUUGGGUAACACUAACUGGAGGACCGAACCGACUAAUGUUGAAAAAUUAGCGGAUGACUUGUGGCUGGGGGUGAAAGGCCAAUCAAACCGGGAGAUAGCUGGUUCUCCCCGAAAGCUAUUUAGGUAGCGCCUCGUGAAUUCAUCUCCGGGGGUAGAGCACUGUUUCGGCAAGGGGGUCAUCCCGACUUACCAACCCGAUGCAAACUGCGAAUACCGGAGAAUGUUAUCACGGGAGACACACGGCGGGUGCUAACGUCCGUCGUGAAGAGGGAAACAACCCAGACCGCCAGCUAAGGUCCCAAAGUCAUGGUUAAGUGGGAAACGAUGUGGGAAGGCCCAGACAGCCAGGAUGUUGGCUUAGAAGCAGCCAUCAUUUAAAGAAAGCGUAAUAGCUCACUGGUCGAGUCGGCCUGCGCGGAAGAUGUAACGGGGCUAAACCAUGCACCGAAGCUGCGGCAGCGACACUGUGUGUUGUUGGGUAGGGGAGCGUUCUGUAAGCCUGUGAAGGUGUCUGUGAGGAUGCUGGAGGUAUCAGAAGUGCGAAUGCUGACAUAAGUAACGAUAAAGCGGGUGAAAAGCCCGCUCGCCGGAAGACCAAGGGUUCCUGUCCAACGUUAAUCGGGGCAGGGUGAGUCGACCCCUAAGGCGAGGCCGAAAGGCGUAGUCGAUGGGAAACAGGUUAAUAUUCCUGUACUUGGUGUUACUGCGAAGGGGGGACGGAGAAGGCUAUGUUGGCCGGGCGACGGUUGUCCCGGUUUAAGCGUGUAGGCUGGUUUUCCAGGCAAAUCCGGAAAAUCAAGGCUGAGGCGUGAUGACGAGGCACUACGGUGCUGAAGCAACAAAUGCCCUGCUUCCAGGAAAAGCCUCUAAGCAUCAGGUAACAUCAAAUCGUACCCCAAACCGACACAGGUGGUCAGGUAGAGAAUACCAAGGCGCUUGAGAGAACUCGGGUGAAGGAACUAGGCAAAAUGGUGCCGUAACUUCGGGAGAAGGCACGCUGAUAUGUAGGUGAAGUCCCUCGCGGAUGGAGCUGAAAUCAGUCGAAGAUACCAGCUGGCUGCAACUGUUUAUUAAAAACACAGCACUGUGCAAACACGAAAGUGGACGUAUACGGUGUGACGCCUGCCCGGUGCCGGAAGGUUAAUUGAUGGGGUCAGCGCAAGCGAAGCUCUUGAUCGAAGCCCCGGUAAACGGCGGCCGUAACUAUAACGGUCCUAAGGUAGCGAAAUUCCUUGUCGGGUAAGUUCCGACCUGCACGAAUGGCGUAAUGAUGGCCAGGCUGUCUCCACCCGAGACUCAGUGAAAUUGAACUCGCUGUGAAGAUGCAGUGUACCCGCGGCAAGACGGAAAGACCCCGUGAACCUUUACUAUAGCUUGACACUGAACAUUGAGCCUUGAUGUGUAGGAUAGGUGGGAGGCUUUGAAGUGUGGACGCCAGUCUGCAUGGAGCCGACCUUGAAAUACCACCCUUUAAUGUUUGAUGUUCUAACGUGGACCCGUGAUCCGGGUUGCGGACAGUGUCUGGUGGGUAGUUUGACUGGGGCGGUCUCCUCCUAAAGAGUAACGGAGGAGCACGAAGGUUGGCUAAUCCUGGUCGGACAUCAGGAGGUUAGUGCAAUGGCAUAAGCCAGCUUGACUGCGAGCGUGACGGCGCGAGCAGGUGCGAAAGCAGGUCAUAGUGAUCCGGUGGUUCUGAAUGGAAGGGCCAUCGCUCAACGGAUAAAAGGUACUCCGGGGAUAACAGGCUGAUACCGCCCAAGAGUUCAUAUCGACGGCGGUGUUUGGCACCUCGAUGUCGGCUCAUCACAUCCUGGGGCUGAAGUAGGUCCCAAGGGUAUGGCUGUUCGCCAUUUAAAGUGGUACGCGAGCUGGGUUUAGAACGUCGUGAGACAGUUCGGUCCCUAUCUGCCGUGGGCGCUGGAGAACUGAGGGGGGCUGCUCCUAGUACGAGAGGACCGGAGUGGACGCAUCACUGGUGUUCGGGUUGUCAUGCCAAUGGCACUGCCCGGUAGCUAAAUGCGGAAGAGAUAAGUGCUGAAAGCAUCUAAGCACGAAACUUGCCCCGAGAUGAGUUCUCCCUGACCCUUUAAGGGUCCUGAAGGAACGUUGAAGACGACGACGUUGAUAGGCCGGGUGUGUAAGCGCAGCGAUGCGUUGAGCUAACCGGUACUAAUGAACCGUGAGGCUUAACCUU